UACGGGGGGGAGCAAGCGUUGUUCGGAUUUACUGGGCGUAAAGGGCGCGUAGGCGGCGUGACUAGUCACUUGUGAAAUCUCCGGGCUUAACUCGGAAAGGUCAAGUGAUACUGUCGUGCUAGAGUACAGAAGGGGCAACUGGAAUUCUCGGUGUAGCGGUGAAAUGCGUAGAUAUCGAGAGGAACACCUGCGGCGAAGGCGGGUUGCUGGGCUGACACUGACGCUGAAGCGCGAAAGCCAGGGGAGCGAACGGG
rnacentral:rRNA from 1 species